rnacentral:rRNA from 1 species
GGAUCCAGACUUUGAUUAUGCUCAGGACGAACGCUGGCGGCGCGCCUAACACAUGCAAGUCGAGCGGGAAGCUUUUUAAGGAUUCUUCGGAUGAAUUAAAAAGUGGAGAGCGGCGGACGGGUGAGUAACGCGUGAGAAACCUGCCCUAUACAGGGGGAUAGCCAUUGGAAACGAUGAUUAAUACCCCAUAUGACCACAGUAUCGCAUGAUACAGCGGUGAAAACUCCGGUGGUAUAGGAUGGUCUCGCGUCUGAUUAGCUAGUUGGUGGGGUAACGGCCUACCAAGGCGACGAUCAGUAGCCGGCCUGAGAGGGUGACCGGCCACACUGGAACUGAGACACGGUCCAGACUCCUACGGGAGGCAGCAGUGGGGAAUAUUGCACAAUGGGCGAAAGCCUGAUGCAGCGACGCCGCGUGAACGAUGAAGGCUUUCGAGUCGUAAAGUUCUGUUCUUGGGGAAGAUAACGACGGUACCCAAGGAGAAAGCACCGGCUAAAUACGUGCCAGCAGCCGCGGUAAU